GUCGAACGUGAUUAGAGGGCUUGCUCUCUAUGAAAGUGGCGCACGGGUGAGUAACGCGUAGAUAAUCUACCUGAUGAUUCGGGAUAACACUUCGAAAGGGGUGCUAAUACCGAAUAAGCCCACGGAGUCCUUGGACACUGCGGGAAAAGGGGGGGACCUUCGGGCCUUCCGGCGUCAGGUGAGUCUGCGUACCAUUAGCUAGUUGGUAGGGUAAAGGCCUACCAAGGCGACGAUGGUUAGCUGGGCUGAGAGGAUGAGCAGCCACACUGGAACUGAGACACGGUCCAGACUCCUACGGGAGGCAGCAGUGGGGAAUAUUGGACAAUGGGCGAAAGCCUGAUCCAGCCAUGCCGCGUGUGUGAAGAAGGCCUUCGGGUUGUAAAGCACUUUAAGCGAGGAGGAAUGGCUCUUGGUUAAUAACCUUGAGCAGUGACGUUACUCGCAGAAUAAGCACCGGCUAACUCUGUGCCAGCCGCCGCGGUAAAAC
rnacentral:rRNA from 1 species